rnacentral:tRNA from 1 species
GCACCGAUGUCCGAGUGGCUAAGGAGUUUGACUCAAAAUCAAAUGGGCUCUGCGCGCGUAGGUUCGAAUCCUGUUCGCUGCG